AGAAAUCCAUGCAUAAAGUCUUGGUGCCUUCAAGAAAUUGAAAGACAUUUAGUGUGGCUGUAGGACAGGCAGGAAAGAGAAUUUGGAAAGAGCCUGCUGGCUGCAGAUGGAGAUGGCCCCUAUGGUUUGAAGUUUUAAGCUGAGUCUCUGCAAUGGAAAGACCUUUGUCUUUCCUGUGUCCGGUGUGGGGGAGUGGACUCUUCUGGGUGAGUCACCACCAAAUGCCCAGAGGUGGGUGCAGACUUCCUUCCUGCACUGGGGUUGGGGGGACGAUUGGCGCCCACUGUGCUGACCACCUCUUCAUGCAGCUGCAGGUGGGGUGGGCUUUGAGGCCGGAAGCCAAAAAUGAGUAGGAG
rnacentral:lncRNA from 1 species